rnacentral:ncRNA from 1 species
UUGAUAGAGGCGCGAUGCUUAAGAGUAUCUGUCGGCAUAAACGGAAUGAAGCCGACGGCAAAAGGAAGCGUUGCCGAAACGUCGGUUAUUUCGUCCGUGGAAUAAGGCGUUGGGUUGCAGGGAAAUACGCUGCAAACUGUCGCAAGGAAACUUGCGGAGCGCUUGAU